AUUGAACGCUGGCGGCAAGCCUAACACAUGCAAGUCGAACGAGUGGGGGACGGGUGAGUAAUGUCUGGGACUCUGCCUGCUGGAUGGGGAUAACUACUGGAAACUGUAGCUAAUACCGCAUACUAUCGUAUGGUCCCAGUUGGGAUUAUCUAGUUGGUGGGGUAAAGGCGCACCUAGGCGACGAUCCCUAGCUGGGCGGAGAGGAUGACCAGCCACACUGGAACGGAGACACGGUCCAGAAUCCUACGGGAGGCAGCAGUGGGGAAUAUUGGACAAUGGGCGAAAGCCUGAUGCAGCCAUGCCGCGUGUAUGAAGAAGGCCUUCGGGUUGUAAAGUACUUUCAGCGGGGAGGCGUUACCCGCAGAAGAAGCACCGGCUAACUCCGUGCCAGCAGCCGCGGUAAUAC
rnacentral:rRNA from 1 species